GCUUGAAGGGGGGUCUUCUCAAUUGCUGGAGCUCAAACCUAAUUAAAGGAAUCCUUUUCUACAUGGGCACAUACUCUUUCAGCACCCUCCGUAGUUUUAUUCAUUCUACUCCUAGUAGCUUGGACUGGUUGAUCACCAAUGUUUACGGAUCAAACGAUCACAGCUUGCAAUCAAACUUCUUCUCAGAGCUUACCUUGAUUGAGAACUUUGGCAAGGCCUCUGGGUCAUUGUUGGAGAUUUUAACACCAUUCGAUUUGCUAAUGAAAGAAAGGGUGUUGGCGGUGAU
rnacentral:lncRNA from 1 species